GGCUAGAUCACCAGUUCCGAUACGAUCACCAAAGUUAAGCAACAUCGAGCCUGAUCAGUACCUAGAGGGUUGAACGCUUGGAAAUACUAGGUGCUGUA